GUGUCCAUUGCUGCAAUAUACAUUUUGUUUGCAUUAUUCAUUUAUGAUAUGAUUCUAUCAUUUGGAAUUACCUUAAAGGAUAUGAAAUAUAUUAGAAGCCUCCUCCUUCUCAGGACUUUUUAUAGGCUUCAUAAGAAGUCUGAAGCUAAAUGCUUGCCAAAACAGUGUGGUAGACCCAGAGCAGAAUGGGAAACAACAGCUAGCAGAUAAGUCAGUCUUAUUCCCUUCCCAUACUCAGCAUCAGCCAAGGUGAAAGUGAUUUAAUGAAGAGAAAGUCAGUAUCUCCAUUCCCUAUUAAUGGCACCCCCUGCUUUGAAAGCAAGGUUAAUCAGGGAACCCAAAUAUCACCUGUGCACUGAGCAUCCCUGCACAGGCAAAUAUAUUCAGUAGCAUUACCACAGCUGCCUGAAAAUCUUUGGUCUCAGACAUGUUACAUGGAGGAAGCUGGUUUUCUGUGCUUUCUUUUUAAUUUGGGCAUUGAAGAAUGAUCCUGCAAGCAUUUACCUUAAGAUAGCACUACCCAUGGCUGCUGUUUCCACGUGGCUACCUACAAUAAUAAUCAGCAUUUGGAAAGAGUCUUCUAAGACUUCCAACAACUGGCACUACAGAGAUUUGCAAGUAGCUGAGCUGUGGAGAACUCAGGAACCAUAGCUAUGGCCUUCCGGGGUGGUUUUGAUAAAGAGGAGUAGAUUAUCUCCACCUCCUGAGGCAGUACACUCUCACUGCACAAGCACUUCAUGCUACGUGGGGUCUGCACCAGCAGAUCCAGGUUCAGCCGUGACUUGGCACAGGACAAGAUUUCAGGGAUCCCUGGGCACCACCAACCCCCAGCAAAGUAAGAGCAUCUUCAAGAUUUUCCCUGUGCUCUACGACAUCAGGAGAGAAAGCAGAGAGAUCUGCUUUUCAACAUACCAAGUCUGGGGCUCCAAAAAGACAAAAAGAAGGACCAGCCAGCUCCAAGAUCACCCCCCAGCCUGCCCAGUUCUACCAGCCUAGGACAUAGAGAAAAGAUAACCCUAUCACACACUCCAAGGAGAUGCUGGAAAUCCUACAGGCUGCCCUAAAAUGUGCAAACACACACAGGUGGAAAGCACUUAUCAAUUGGGCUUAUGAAUUCCCAAUCAAAUAACAUGUUAUUGAAGGGACUGGUUGUGCCCAAAGCAAUAAAAUACUGAAUUUGAGCCAGCACAUCGAGUCUUCAAGGCUGUGAUAUAACCCUAGGAUUAGAUUUUUGCAUUUAAUUAUGUAUCUCUGCAGUCAUCACGCAGAAGACAUCCAGAGACCGUUUCCUCUGCUAGUUUCCAUGUGUAUGGCAUUUUUCUAAUUCUUAAUUUUAACUCCAUGGAUUUAAAAAAUAAAAAUAAAACCUCCAAAAAACCCACAACAAAAACAUCUGGUCAGGAGUCACUAGCUAGACAUGGAAAAUCUCAGGGCG